rnacentral:piRNA from 1 species
UGCAGUGAGAGCCUCCCCUGCCCCUGCCUGC